CCUACGGGAGGCAGCAGUGGGGAAUAUUGGGCAAUGGGGGAAACUCUGACCCAGCGACGCCGCGUGCGGGAUGAAGGCCUUCGGGUUGUAAACCGCUUUCAGUAGGGAAGAAGCGAAAGUGACGGUACCUACAGAAGAAGCACCGGCUAACUAUGUGCCAGCAGCCGCGGUAAUACAUAGGGUGCAAGCGUUGUCCGGAAUUAUUGGGCGUAAAGAGCUCGUAGGUGGUUCGUCACGUCGGAUGUGAAAAUCUGGGGCUCAACCCCAGACCUGCAUUCGAUACGGGCGAUCUAGAGUGUGGUAGGGGAGACUGGAAUUCCUGGUGUAGCGGUGGAAUGCGCAGAUAUCAGGAGGAACACCAAUGGCGAAGGCAGGUCUCUGGGCCAUUACUGACACUGAGGAGCGAAAGCGUGGGGAGCGAACAGGAUUAGAUACCCUGGUAGUCCACGCCGUAAACGGUGGGCACUAGUUGUGGGAACCUUCCACGGUUUCUGCGACGCNGCUACGCAUAGUCGCCCGCCGUCGGGUAGGUACGAGUCGCGAAGAAGUUAAACGUUAAAGUAGUAAGUUAGUACGGUUCGUUGUAGACGUUGCCGACGGACGACGACGAGGGAGGAGG
rnacentral:rRNA from 1 species